rnacentral:rRNA from 1 species
GACGAACGCUGGCGGCGUGCUUAACACAUGCAAGUCGAACGGAAGGGCCUCUUUCGGGGGGUACUCGAGUGGAGAACGGGUGAGUAACACGUGAGUAACCUGCCCUUGACUUUGGGAUAACUUCAGGAAACUGGGGCUAAUACCGGAUAGGAGCUCCUGCUGCAUGGUGGGGGUUGGAAAGUUUCGGCGGUUGGGGAUGGACUCGCGGCUUAUCAGCUUGUUGGUGGGGUAGUGGCUUACCAAGGCUUUGACGGGUAGCCGGCCUGAGAGGGUGACCGGCCACAUUGGGACUGAGAUACGGCCCAGACUCCUACGGGAGGCAGCAGUGGGGAAUAUUGCACAAUGGGUGGAAGCCUGAUGCAGCAACGCCGUGUGCGGGAUGACGGCCUUCGGGUUGUAAACCGCUUUCGCUCAUGACGAAGCUUUGUGUGACGGUAGUGGGUAAAGAAGCACCGGCUAACUACGUG